rnacentral:ncRNA from 2 species
UUCUUAUCAAGAUUGGUUGAGGGACUGGCCCUAUGACACCAAGCAACCUGAAUAUUUUAUUCAAGGUGCUAAUUCCAGCAGGAAUAUUCCUGAGAGAUAAGAG